GAUUCUUCUCUUGAUCUCUUGCCCAGCCAGGUUUAGGGGGUUCCAGCUUACUCUAAGUCCUACUUUGCUGUCCUACACAAAAAGUCUUUUUUCUCUAUGUGGUCUCCAAAAUUCCUUUAAUGGUCUUCAGACCAUCUUGUGCUUACACCUAAGUCAUCUUCACUCUCCUGAAGAUGUUCAUGGGCCCUAGAAACUCUCAAACAGGCAUCGAGGUAACACUGGACAUGGAGUGAGGAAGGACUGAAUUUGAAUCACAGGGCAAGUCACUUCCCCCCUCAAUCUCAGUUACCACAUGUAUAAAAUGGGAAUAAGAGUAGUACUUACCUUACAAGGUAGUUGUGAAGAUCAACAUAGGCAAAGCUACUUGCAAAUCUAUAGAAAUGUUAGCUACUAUUAUUAACUCUCCCUUGACUUACUUUUCUCAUUGCAUCUUGCUUGGUUUUCCUGAAGCACAUUUGCUAGCCACUUGUGAUUGAGUCUAUCUUUAAAUAAAGCUUAUCUUCCAACUCUGUUGCUCUAGAUUGUAAUCUCUGCCCCAUUUCUUUCUAGAAAGAUGUCGUGUGGUCCCAAGGCCAUUGGGACUAUGGUAGGACCACAGAUUCAGAGUUAGAAGGGACAACAGAGAUCACCUUAUCCAAACUCCUCAUUUUAUAGAUGAGGAAACUGAAGCCUACAGAGUUUAAGUCACACAGGUAAGCUGUGCCCUCAGCCCUACUGCCCUCAGUGAUAAUUCUUCAUAAGAUCUACUAUUCCCCCCCCCCCCGCAAAAGCAUCCGUUGGAUUUGCAAUGUUCCUAUUUCUGGUCUUAAUUCUAGCUUUGACUUGUCAGAGCAGAGACAGCAGACAGGUCCUCUGCAUGGCUCAGAUGACUAUUUCUACUACUUCUCAAGUGCCAGCAGCAGAAAUCUGCCUGCUUCCUGAUGUCCAUAAAUAUUCCUACAGAAUUGUCAUCCAUCAUUUUCCUCCCUACCUCCUCUGCAGCAGUGAGAAUCAUAAAGCUAAUUUUCCCCCAAGAAUGUCACCGUCUGCACGGCUUUCCUUUCCCCAACUCUACUACCUCUGGACAUCCUAACAUCAUCCAUCACUCAGCAGAUGAAGAUGGCAUAUUAGCUGACUGGAUCAAAAAAUACAGAUCCAUGAUCAUCUCAUGCAACUGUUGACAGAAUGCGAUAAAUGUGUCUCAAGUACCUGUGAUAUGCCAGGCUCUGUCACAGAUAUUGGGGGUACAAAGAUAAAAUAUAAGCCCUGCCCACAAGGGACUGAAAAUACAAUAGAAGGGGUAUGAAAUGUGCACAAAUAUAUACAAUAGCAGAAGGUGAUUAAGGACAAAGGAAAUAUCAAGUUAAGGUGCUUUUUUUUUGGUGAGGUAAUCAGGGUUAAGUGACUUACCAAGGGUCACACAGCUAGCAACUGUCAAGUGUCUGAGGCUGGAUUUGAACUCAGGUCCUCCUGACUCCAAAGUGCUCUUGAAAAACAUGAGGAGGCAUAGCAUGCUUGCAUCCAGGGCAG
rnacentral:lncRNA from 1 species